rnacentral:rRNA from 1 species
GGGUUGUGAGGUUAAGCGACUAAGCGUACACGGUGGAUGCCCUGGCAGUCAGAGGCGAUGAAGGACGUGCUAAUCUGCGAUAAGCGUCGGUAAGGUGAUAUGAACCGUUAUAACCGGCGAUUUCCGAAUGGGGAAACCCAGUGUGAUUCGUCACACUAUCAUUAACUGAAUCCAUAGGUUAAUGAGGCGAACCGGGGGAACUGAAACAUCUAAGUACCCCGAGGAAAAGAAAUCAACCGAGAUUCCCCCAGUAGCGGCGAGCGAACGGGGAGCAGCCCAGAGCCUGAAUCAGUGUGUGUGUUAGUGGAAGCGUCUGGAAAGGCGCGCGAUACAGGGUGACAGCCCCGUACACAAAAAUGCACAUGCUGUGAGCUCGAUGAGUAGGGCGGGACACGUGGUAUCCUGUCUGAAUAUGGGGGGACCAUCCUCCAAGGCUAAAUACUCCUGACUGACCGAUAGUGAACCAGUACCGUGAGGGAAAGGCGAAAAGAACCCCGGCGAGGGGAGUGAAAAAGAACCUGAAACCGUGUACGUACAAGCAGUGGGAGCACGCUUAGGCGUGUGA